rnacentral:rRNA from 1 species
AUUGAACGCUGGCGGCAGGCCUAACACAUGCAAGUCGAACGAGUGGCGGACGGGUGAGUAAUGUCUGGGAAACUGCCUGAUGGAGGGGGAUAACUACUGGAAACGGUAGCUAAUACCGCAUACCAUCGGAUGUGCCCAGAUGGGAUUAGCUAGUAGGUGGGGUAAAGGCUCACCUAGGCGACGAUCCCUAGCUGGUCUGAGAGGAUGACCAUCCACCCUGGAACUGGGACACGGGCCAGACUCCUACGGGAGGCAGCAGAGGGGAUUAUUGCACAAGGGGCGCAAUCCUGAUGCAGCCAGGCCGCGUGUAUGAAGAAGGCCUUCGGGUUGUAAAGUACUUUCAGCGGGGAGGCGUUACCCGCAGAAGAAGCACCGGCUAACUCCGUGCCAGCAGCCGCGGUAAUAC